GAUAACGUAGGGAAACUUACGCUAAUACCGCAUACGACCUACGGGUGAAAGCAGGGGAUCUUCGGACCUUGCGCGAUUGAAUGAGCCGAUGUCGGAUUAGCUAGUUGGCGGGGUAAAGGCCCACCAAGGCGACGAUCCGUAGCUGGUCUGAGAGGAUGAUCAGCCACACUGGAACUGAGACACGGUCCAGACUCCUACGGGAGGCAGCAGUGGGGAAUAUUGGACAAUGGGCGCAAGCCUGAUCCAGCCAUACCGCGUGGGUGAAGAAGGCCUUCGGGUUGUAAAGCCCUUUUGUUGGGAAAGAAAUCCAGCCGGCUAAUACCCGGUUGGGAUGACGGUACCCAAAGAAUAAGCACCGGCUAACUUCGUGCCAGCAGCCGCGGUAAUACGAAGGGUGCAAGCGUUACUCGGAAUUACUGGGCGUAAAGCGUGCGUAGGUGGUCGUUUAAGUCCGUUGUGAAAGCCCUGGGCUCAACCUGGGAACUGCAGUGGAUACUGGGCGACUAGAGUGUGGUAGAGGGUAGCGGAAUUCCUGGUGUAGCAGUGAAAUGCGUAGAGAUCAGGAGGAACAUCCAUGGCGAAGGCAGCUACCUGGA
rnacentral:rRNA from 1 species